rnacentral:rRNA from 1 species
UACGAAGGGGGCUAGCGUUGAUCGGAAUCACUGGGCGUAAAGGGUGCGUAGGCGGGUCUUUAAGUCAGGGGUGAAAUCCUGGAGCUCAACUCCAGAACUGCCUUUGAUACUGAGGAUCUUGAGUUCGGGAGAGGUGAGUGGAACUGCGAGUGUAGAGGUGAAAUUCGUAGAUAUUCGCAAGAACACCAGUGGCGAAGGCGGCUCACUGGCCCGAUACUGACGCUGAGGCACGAAAGCGUGGGGAGCAAACAGG